AUUUUUCUGGGUCUCUCAAGGUCCAGAUGGGCCUGUUCACAGAACAGAUAGUCGGAUAUUGUGUGGAAACAUGGUUGAGACAUGCACAACCUGCUUAAUUAAACCUCAAACUGAAAGUGACUAUGAAGCAACUCAGUAGGAAACAUCUCUGUCUGCUGUCUCCGUGCUCAGUGCGUGUCGGCACCCAGAGAAGUCGGGGCUCAGGUCUUUGCAGCAGGACAUGAUCAUCUGAGCCAGUGGAAACAAAGAGUUUGCCUUUUUAAGCAGAAGAGGAAGUGAAAAUAGGUAAGCAUGACCUGGACACUGCAACCCAACAGCAGCAGCAGCAUCAGCACCAGCAGCGGCCCGGAUCAUCAGCAGUAGGAAUAUACUCAUCCUACUGAGCAGGAGAGGAGGAGGGAGCUCAGCCGAGACUGCUGAUUGGAAGCUACACCUGGCCUGACUCUGUAUCUACUUGUGACACCGUCCUGGAGGGGGGCAUCGU